rnacentral:rRNA from 1 species
CAUGAAGCUGGAAUCGCUAGUAAUCGCAGGUCAGCAUACUGCGGUGAAUACGUUCCCGGGUCUUGUACACACCGCCCGUCACACCAUGGGAGCCGGAAGUGCCUGAAGUGUGCAACCGCAAGGAGCGCCCUAAGGUAAAACUGGUGACUGGGGCUAAGUCGUAACAAGGUACC